CGGAUUGUAGGCUGCAACUCGCCUACAUGAAGUCGGAAUCGCUAGUAAUCGCGGAUCAGCAUGCCGCGGUGAAUACGUUCCCGGGCCUUGUACACACCGCCCGUCACACCAUGAGAGUUUGUAACACCCAAAGCCGGUGGGGUAACCUUUUGGAGCCAGCCGUCUAAGGUGGGACAGAUGAUUGGGGUGAAGUCGUAACAAGGUAAC
rnacentral:rRNA from 1 species